rnacentral:ncRNA from 1 species
UGGGAUUCCUGCAGCCUCCCUUCAGAUGGAUGUCCAUCCAAGCGCUC